AGAGAGAUAAUUUAAAGAAAAUGGCAUAUUGUAAAUAUGACCUAUGGCAAUUGCCUCUUUCUA
rnacentral:tRNA from 1 species